rnacentral:pre_miRNA from 1 species
GGCCUCCCUCUGUGGGGCAAUAGAUUGUGGGGUCCCCAGAUCGAUUGCCCCGCAGAGGGAGACC